UGGGGAAUCUUGCGCAAUGGGCGAAAGCCUGACGCAGCGACGCCGCGUGUGGGAUGAAGGUCUUCGGAUUGUAAACCACUGUCGGGAGGGACGAAGCUCUGACGGUACCUCCAAAGGAAGCACCGGCUAACUCUGUGCCAGCAGCCGCGGUAAUACAGAGGGUGCGAGCGUUGUCCGGAAUCACUGGGCGUAAAGGGCGCGUAGGCGGCCUGGGUAAGUAGGGGGUGAAAUCUCAUGGCUCAACUGUGAGGCUGCCUUCUAGACUGCUGGGCUUGAGCACGGUAGAGGCUGGUGGAAUUCCCGGUGUAGCGGUGGAAUGCGUAGAGAUCGGGAGGAACAUCGGUGGCGAAGGCGGCCAGCUGGGCCGUUGCUGACGCUGAGGCGCGAAAGCGUGGGGAGCAAACAGGAUUAGAUACCCCCGUAGUCCCUGAGCGGGCUGGCAAGGCGCAU
rnacentral:rRNA from 1 species